UUUGUAGGGUUUUGGAAACUGAUGAAGCUUAUUUUGCUUGAUUGGAUCUUCGAUAGAUUUUCUUUUUUAGUUAGAUUAUGUCGUAGAUGAUUGGUUUUGUUUUGAAUCACUGCCAGUUUUUUUUUUUUCUCAGUUUAUUGUGUGUUCUAUAUCUAUUUGGACUUGUUCCUUGUUUCUCCAGGGCCAUUGGUUGAUUGUUUAGAAUUAGAUUGAGAAAUUG
rnacentral:misc_RNA from 1 species